rnacentral:rRNA from 1 species
UACGUAGGGUGCAAGCGUUAAUCGGAAUACUGGGCGUAAAGCGUGCGCAGGCGGUUUUGUAAGUCUGUCGUGAAAUCCCCGGGCUCAACCUGGGAAUUGCGAUGGAGACUGCAAGGCUAGAAUCUGGCAGAGGGGGGUAGAAUUCCGACGUGUAGCAGUGAAAUGCGUAGAGAUGUGGAGGAACACCGAUGGCGAAGGCAGCCCCCUGGGUCAAGACUGACGCUCAUGC